rnacentral:rRNA from 1 species
AGCUACCAUGCAGUCGAGCGGAACGAGUUAUCAUGAGACCUUCGGGUGGAGACGAUAACGGCGUCGAGCGGCGGACGGGUGAGUAAUGCCUAGGAAAUUGCCCUGAUGUGGGGGAUAACCAUUGGAAACGAUGGCUAAUACCGCAUGAUGCCUACGGGCCAAAGAGGGGGACCUUCGGGCCUCUCGCGUCAGGAUAUGCCUAGGUGGGAUUAGCUAGUUGGUGAGGUAAGGGCUCACCAAGGCGACGAUCCCUAGCUGGUCUGAGAGGAUGAUCAGCCACACUGGAACUGAGACACGGUCCAGACUCCUACGGGAGGCAGCAGUGGGGAAUAUUGCACAAUGGGCGCAAGCCUGAUGCAGCCAUGCCGCGUGUGUGAAGAAGGCCUUCGGGUUGUAAAGCACUUUCAGUCGUGAGGAAGGUAGUGUAGUUAAUAGCUGCAUUAUUUGACGUUAGCGACAGAAGAAGCACCGGCUAACUCCGUGCCAGCAGCCGCGGUAAUACGGAGGGUGCGAGCGUUAAUCGGAAUUACUGGGCGUAAAGCGCAUGCAGGUGGUUUGUUAAGUCAGAUGUGAAAGCCCGGGGCUCAACCUCGGAAUAGCAUUUGAAACUGGCAGACUAGAGUACUGUAGAGGGGGGUAGAAUUUCAGGUGUAGCGGUGAAAUGCGUAGAGAUCUGAAGGAAUACCGGUGGCGAAGGCGGCCCCCUGGACAGAUACUGACACUCAGAUGCGAAAGCGUGGGGAGCAAACAGGAUUAGAUACCCUGGUAGUCCACGCCGUAAACGAUGUCUACUUGGAGGUUGUGGCCUUGAGCCGUGCUUUCGGAGCUAACGCGUUAAGUAGACCGCCUGGGGAGUACGGUCGCAAGAUUAAAACUCAAAUGAA